rnacentral:lncRNA from 1 species
UAUUUGCUGAAUUGUAGAUACUUAGUUUAUAGUGUAAACAGGGAUAGAUGACUGUUGAAAAGGUAGUUCAAUAGGUAAAAUGGAUGAAUAGUUAGGAAAAGCAGUUUUCAUUAGAGAUGUAGCAGUUGGUAUCUCGUGGUAGCAUUAGGAGGAUGGGAGAGAGGAAGUAAGGGCCAGACUGUGAUAGUGUGAGUCGGGGUAAGCUUGGUGCUACCUCUUUUCUUUUGUUUGU